rnacentral:lncRNA from 1 species
UCUAAACCGGCAAACUAAGAGUGAAAACACUGAAACUGUAUCAAACUAAGGACUUGGUUAUCAUGAUUCAUGACUCACUUUAACUUGAAUUUAUAAAAAAAAAAAAAGGAAACUAAGAGUGAAACACUGAAACACUGAAACUGUAUCAAAUCAGUGUGAGGUUUUGGCAUCAUUCUUAAACUGUAUUUCCAAAAUUAAACAACGAGACUGUUAAGAUAUCACAGUGUAAAGUCUUCGAAGACAACUAGUAUCAUCAUACAUACACACAUCACACCACUAUCUCAUCAUGUAUACACUUAUAUACGUACAAAAAACAUGUCUUUACCAUCUAGAACGACCAAAUCUCAUAUACCAACUAUUGGCAGAGACAAAACACACCACACAUCGUUCAAGCAACAAAGCUAAACACACAUCAUUCAAGUAACAACUAAACAAGAGC